CUAUCAGCUUGUUGGUGAGGUAAUGGCUCACCAAGGCGACGACGGGUAGCCGGCCUGAGAGGGUGACCGGGCACACUGGGACUGACACACGGCCCACACUCCUACGGGAGGCAGCAGUGGGGAAUAUUGCACAAUGGGCGCAAGCCUGAUGCAGCGACGCCGCGUGAGGGAUGACGGCCUUCGGGUUGUAAACCUCUUUCAGUAGGGAAGAAGCGAAAGUGACGGUACCUGCAGAAGAAGCGCCGGCUAACUACGUGCCAGCAGCCGCGGUAAUACGUAGGGCGCAAGCGUUAUCCGGAAUUAUUGGGCGUAAAGAGCUCGUAGGCGGUUUGUCGCGUCUGCCGUGAAAGUCCGGGGCUCAACUCCGGAUCUGCGGUGGGUACGGGCAGACUAGAGUGAUGUAGGGGAGACUGGAAUUCCUGGUGUAGCGGUGAAAUGCGCAGAUAUCAGGAGGAACACCGAUGGCGAAGGCAGGUCUCUGGGCAUUAACUGACGCUGAGGAGCGAAAGCAUGGGGAGCGAACAGGAUUAGAUACCCUGGUAGUCCAUGCCGUAAACGUUGGGCACUAGGUGUGGGGGACAUUCCACGUUUUCCGCGCCGUAGCUAACGCAUUAAGUGCCCCGCCUGGGGAGUACGGCCGCAAGGCUAAAACUCAAAGGAAUUGACGGGGGCCCGCACAAGCGGCGGAGCAUGCGGAUUAAUUCGAUGCAACGCGAAGAACCUUACCAAGGCUUGACAUGAACCGGAAAGACCUGGAAACAGGUGCCCCGCUUGCGGUCGGUUUACAGGUGGUGCAUGGUUGUCGUCAGCUCGUGUCGUGAGAUGUUGGGUUAAGUCCCGCAACGAGCGCAACCCUCGUUCUAUGUUGCCAGCACGUGAUGGUGGGGACUCAUAGGAGACUGCCGGGGUCAACUCGGAGGAAGGUGGGGACGACGUCAAAUCAUCAUGCCCCUUAUGUCUUGGGCUUCACGCAUGCUACAAUGGCCGGUACAAAGGGUUGCGAUACUGUGAGGUGGAGCUAAUCCCAAAAAGCCGGUCUCAGUUCGGAUUGGGGUCUGCAACUCGACCCCAUGAAGUCGGAGUCGCUAGUAAUCGCAGAUCAGCAACGCUGCGGUGAAUACGUUCCCGGGCCUUGUACACACCGCCCGUCAAGUCACGAAAGUUGGUAACACCCGAA
rnacentral:rRNA from 1 species